AUUGAACGCUGGCGGCAUGCUUUACACAUGCAAGUCGAACGGCAGCACGGGUGCUUGCACCUGGUGGCGAGUGGCGAACGGGUGAGUAAUGCAUCGGAACGUGCCCAUGAGUGGGAGAUAGCCCGGCGAAAGCCGGAUUAAUACCGCAUACGCCCUUAGGGGGAAAGCGGGGGAUCUUCGGACCUCGCGCUAUUGGAGCGGCCGAUGUCGGAUUAGCUAGUAGGUGAGGUAAAGGCUCACCUAGGCGACGAUCCGUAGCUGGUCUGAGAGGAUGAUCAGCCACACUGGGACUGAGACACGGCCCAGACUCCUACGGGAGGCAGCAGUGGGGAAUUUUGGACAAUGGGCGCAAGCCUGAUCCAGCCAUGCCGCGUGAGUGAAGAAGGCCUGCGGGUUGUAAAGCACUUUCAGUGGGGAAGAACGGGCGAGGGUUAAUACCCCUAGCCACUGACGUUACCCACAGAAGAAGCACCGGCUAACUCCGUG
rnacentral:rRNA from 1 species